rnacentral:misc_RNA from 1 species
CCGUACACAUCACGUGUAGCGCGUAUUGAAAAACCUUUCCGACUCAUAGGCAGAGGCUUCCCGCUAUGACGAGGGGGACCGCUUGAGGGCGUACGCUGACUAUAGCUCGCGCAGAGCACAAGUCGGGCGCCCGAUGGUCUUCCUCCAGGGAACGCUGAACGAAAAUGGUGAGCGUGCGAACUAGGUACAGAGACGCCGGUUCGACCUCUCCGAUUGAUCUGCCGCCCGGCGAAUUAGGUACAGCAACGCCGAUUCGACCGCGGUUCGCAAAAAAAAAUGUAUAAGGAUUCGCUCGUCGAAGCCUCCUCAUACUCCUCUUACUCACGCACACUGAGUUUCAUUUUUUCCUUUACCGGCCUGGUGCGCCGACUCGUGCAAAAGAGACGGGCGACCUCCCUCGGACCCAUCAUACGGGUGACUUUGGGUUGCGCGCGCGCGCUCUGACUGUACGGUCGGCAAUCCUCAUACGCUGUCGGAUUCAUAGGGAGAAUGUUGGGCUUGUGUGGAGCGUUGAGCUAAGGAGGAGGCUUGGAGAUUCGUUGCGAGAGCACGAGUCCGGGCCGGACUUUUCAUUACCUUUCUUGGGAGGCGUACCUCUGUGGCUCGGAGGAUGGCCUUAAGAACAGGGAAGAGUCUCGGUAACAGUGCGUGGAGGAGAGUGCGCACUAGGAGAAAAAUUGGACGGGUGAUGAUGAGACACGGUCUUGAUUCUCCCGCUUCAUUUUAUUUUUUCUCCUGCGGUUCGGCAUGACGGUACCGGCAGAAACUUACACAUGGUCUUUCCCAGAGAACAAACUUGAAUGAAAGACGCAGUGAGUUGGUAUUAAAGCAGGCUGGUCGACAAAGGGGGCGUGCGCGUCUCCCCGCGUCGGCCGGCCAUAUGCGCCGUAGCCGAAUCGUGUCCCUACUCGAUAGGGAAGAUGCCUGCAGUGAUGUCAACGUGAGAUAUCCUCUGACUUUCCGCAUGAGAGGCGCUGAGACGCCUAGGAAAUAGGAUUCUCGCGGGGUUGCCCUGCGGUAAAAGGAUGGAUCUAAAGAAAGAAGUCUUGCGCUGUUUUUCUUUUCGAGGCCCCACGAUCAUUUGAAUGAGAGAUCUCGUGGCCUCUCCGCCUCGCCAGAAAGCCUUUACAAACUUGUGCUCGUCUUUGUCGUGGGGGAGGAGAAAUCACCCCUAUACGUCAAGCGGCCAAAAAAU